CGCCUCCCAAUGCUGAGAAAUGUGCUGUGCUCAGCAUUUCUGUGCUGAUGCCGCCGCAUCCAUGGUCGAAAAGGCGGGCGGCUGCAGCAGCCACAGCAGCAGUUGCUCUAGGGGUUAGAAAUCAGAUCGCAGCAUUUCUACCUCAUUUGGCAGCAGAAGUCCCGGGUCACAAGGAAGAUGAGGUUCUAGUCCAGAAGCUGCUGGGCUUUGUCACUCUGAAGGUGGUUAUUCUUUGGGUCACACUGCAAAGAAAGUGUCUACGGCACCAGCAAAUCUUCCCAGCAGGGUCAAGUGGGCAGCUGAUACGAAUGGAGGGUAUGCUUCAUCAAUAAUACCUCCCUUUGCUUGGAACAAAUAUUUGCUGAACAGCAUCCAUGUGCCAGGCACUGCAAAAGCGACCGUGACAUUCUUUAUCUCAUUUAAUUCUCACUGCUGCGUCUCGAGUGUUAUUAUUUAUACCUGACAAGUAAAACUGAGGCUGGAUGAGAUGAAAAGGUGCCAGCUAUGUUUGGGUCUUUUAAAAAUUCCUAGCUCUUCUUGAAUUACAGUUUCAAAAAUAGUUAUUUUCUGUGGUCCUCCUUACCAGAAUGACCAUUGCCCCUGAGAUGGUAGGAAAUGUUCUCCCCUGAACAAAAAGCAAUUAUCUGCAACAUUCUGGAUCAGAUAUGCAGUCAGAGCAGGAAAAUGUCACCGAACAUUUGGAGCCUUUGCCUCUAAAAUUAGGCAUUGCCUGGACCUUUCGGGUUUUCUCGGGUUUUUCUCCUAUUUUUCUGAAUUCUGGUUCAAGUUAAGAUUACACCAUAUGCUUAGGAACUUUGGCUUUUUUUUUUUUUUAACGCAGCUCUCCCCCAAACUGUGUGAUCUGGAAACAAGUCACUUUACUUUUCUGAGCCUCAGUCUUCCGAUUUAUAACCUGACAACUAAGACUAAGCGAGUUCUACUUUCCAGGGAGCAGUGAAAUGUUUGCGUGUUUCAUUCAUUCACGUAUUUGCAGGUUUCUUGAGUUCCCGCGACACUCCAGGUGCGAUGCUGGUGGUGGAAGGAGUUUUGGAGAUAACCUCCCCUAGUCCCACAGCGUUGAGACUGGAGAGGGUACUUGUCACCAGGUGUGAUUCUAGAGCAGUCCCAUCAAGACCUUGUCUAGCAUGCUUUCCUGAACUAUGCUUACCUCAAGUCGCCCUCCCAGCUCUAGAGGACGUGACUUUCCUCUCCCCUUGCUCUUUUCUAUAGUAACAUUUGUUGACCAAUGAAACACAGUGCCAGGCACUGUGCUAAGCAGUUUUCAUGCAUUACAUCAUUUAAUCCAGACAAUAAUCCUAUUCAAUAGAUAAUAUGAUUAGCCCUGAUUCUCAGAUGAAGAAACUAGCAAAAUUGCACAGUUAAAAAGGAAUGGGGAUGAAGUUUCUGUUUGAGAUCAUUAUUGGAAAAGUUCUGGAAAUACAUAAUGGAGGCAGUUGCACAGUAUUAUGAAUGUACUUAAUGCCACUGAACGGGACAGUUUAAUAUGGCCAAAGGGGUAAGUUUUAUAUGGAUAUCUAAUCAUCAUAAUAAAAGAAAAGUAGAGGGGAACUUAAAGCUAAGUAGCAUCCAACUCUAGAACAUUCUACACCUAAUCUCUCAUUCAUCCCCACCACAGACAGGAAUCAGAAAGGUAUAUAUUCCUUCCCCAAUGGAGAGUUCAGUAAUUUUUUUCCAAGUUUCUUAAGAAGUCUUAAAAUCAUGCCCAGGCAUCAGAAAAUUUCUUUCUGUGCUGAAAGUCAUCAGUAGCCUAUUCUGAAUAUGAUCAGAUUCCCAAGUCUGAACGAAUCAGAAAUCACUCCACCUUCCUCCUUCCAUUUCUCUUCCAGCCUAUAAGCUAAUGCUCUCUCUACAAAUUCAAUACAACUUCAAACACAUUUAAAUAUCAGGUGGUUCCUUUUCACAAGUCCUAGCUCACAGGCUGUGGAGGAGCAGAGCUGGGAAAGAUCUAGUUUCAGCCUCAAAGAGUUUACAAUCCAGCCAAGAGAGUAAAUAAAUAACUCCAAAGGAAAAGGCAUCGAAUAUAAUUGCUGAGCACCUAUGCUAGACAUAAAACCUACAGAGAUGAAUAAAACAUGGUUUUAGUCCCUCCACUGCAAAGAUGGUGCAGAUUCAGUGGGAAGGGGCUUUCGGGGAGAGAGAUUAUAUGGUCCUAGAAGGGAUAGGUAUUUUCAAUGGAAUGAUGUUUCCCAACCGUAAAGUAACCAUGGGCCUGUUCCAGAUGUCAUGAGAGUCUGAAUCUCAUCACCUUUUUCUCCAUUAUUUUUUUUCUUCUCCUUUCUUUGGGCUUACUCUGUUUUUCUUCCUUUUUUUUUUCACCUCCUCCAUUUGACAUAGAUCAUUAGUCUUUGGUCUUUCUUCUUUACUAAUAUAAGCAUUUUCAGCCUAUGUGUUAUCCUUUGCUUAUUUCUGUGAUUGAAAGACAUGAAAUCCUGAUAAGUAGAAUUUUAAUUCAUUAAUUAUCAUAUGAUUUCUUCUUGAACCAGUGAGUUAUUUAGAAAUGCUUUUCCCCUCACCCCCAAAUGUAUGGAGAGAAGCAGGUGGAUUUUUUUUUUUUUUUGCUAAGAUUUCUCACUACAUGAUACUGUGGUCAAAUAAUACAAUCUGUAUGACAUUAUAUCACAGCAUUUGUUGGGACUUCAUUUCUGAGCUAGUACGUGAUCAGAUUUUCUAAGUGUCUCACAUAUGCACAAAAUGUGAUUUUUCUAAUUAUUAAUAAGGGGUUUCCAACCCUAUCCAUUAAAGCAAGCUUGAGAAUGUUUUGUUCACACCUUCUAGAUGAUCCUUUUAUCAGUUAUGGAGAGAGGUGCAUUAAAGUAUCUUACUAUUACUUCCACUGGAGGAGGAGAUGGCAACCCACUCCAGUAUUCUUACCUGGAAAAUUCCAUGGACAAUGGAGCCUGGCGGGCUACAGUCCUUGGGGUCGCAGAGACAGACAUGACUAAGCAAGCUUUCAUAUCAUUUCCAAUUCAUCAUUUUCUCCCUGAAAUUGCUUCACUUUUUGUUUUUAUAUUUUGAAGCAUGUUUCUAGGAGCAUACAAUGUUAGAACUAUUCUUCUAUUUAAUUGUCCUUUUAAAGUUGUUCAUCAUGUGAAGACCAUCUUUAACACUAGUAAUGUCUGUCUUAAAGUCUAUUUGAUAUUACAUUAAUAAACUACAUCUGUUUUCUUUUGGUUAUUAGUUACCUACUAUUUCUUUUCUCAUCUUUCUCCUUUUAGCUUUUUUGUUUCAUGUUUUGGAUGCAACUCUUAUAAAUAGCAUAUAGCUAGAUUUUAUCUCUGGUCCAGUUGUAUUUAUUUCCUUCCAACUCUACUAGGCAAUUAAAAGAAUAUUCAUAUAUCUUAUCUAAGAUUUUUAGGUGCUAAUUUUCAUGAAGUUUUCCGGUUUCUUAAUGCCAGAA
ensembl:lncRNA